GUUUACGAACGGGCUGUCGUAUUUCCUGUCGGUUAUCUACUUAAGUGAGAGUUCUUGGUAGAGUGGAAAGGAUUUCUCUCAACAGGAAGUUCACAGGGCUUCUUAACCUAAUGUUCUCACCGCCUUACCAAGCGUGAAAUCCUCAGGUCAGCCAGACACUUCUACAGGACCGCACAGGAGACCAUGACGUUGAACACUCCCUGCAUCCCGGUUCCAACGCGAGGUAUUUUGUCGGCUUCUAUGUGUGUACCUGGUGCCUACAAAGGCCAGAAAAGAGCAUUGGAUCCCCUGGGACUGCAGGUACAGACGAUCGUGAGCCAGCAGGACUACAUGCAGCCUGGAGAAAUCCACAAUAAGAGCACACAAAGGUCCCUUUCUGGAUGACCAAAAGAGAUUUGAGCAGAGCAAAAUGUGGAAGCUACAGCGAGUUCUAGGCCAGUUCACUUGC